UCAAUGUAAAAUAUUACUGGGGUUGGC
rnacentral:piRNA from 1 species